GCGGGCGUAGCAAUACGUCAGCGGCAGACGGGUGAGUAACGCGUGGGAACGUACCUUUUGGUUCGGAACAACACAGGGAAACUUGUGCUAAUACCGAAUAAGCCCUUACGGGGAAAGAUUUAUCGCCGAAAGAUCGGCCCGCGUCUGAUUAGCUAGUUGGUGAGGUAACGGCUCACCAAGGCGACGAUCAGUAGCUGGUCUGAGAGGAUGAUCAGCCACAUUGGGACUGAGACACGGCCCAAACUCCUACGGGAGGCAGCAGUGGGGAAUAUUGGACAAUGGGCGCAAGCCUGAUCCAGCCAUGCCGCGUGAGUGAUGAAGGCCCUAGGG
rnacentral:rRNA from 1 species